CAUAUCUUAUUUUAAUCUUUCUGGCAAACGAUCAGACUUGUUGAAAUUUUUAAUUCCGGACUUAUCUUACUCACCAGAAAAGGAUAUUUCAGGAUAUGAAAUGAAAUUGAUAUGAAAUGAAAUUAGCAAUCCGCACCGAUAUAUUCAUUUAUGGAGUUUCCGAGUACACCUGUACUUGUCGAUUAAUCCAAUGUGGCAGUACUGGUACAGGUGAGGCAGUUUUAUUUGGUGCAUGGUGAUUGAAAUUUGAAUACAGUUCUUAUAGUAAAACAAAGAACAUCAACAGAAUACUGUAUACACGAGAACAUUUAAUGUCAUUAAAAUACAUGCAUUUUAGCAUUGUACUAAAAUUGAAUAUAUGACUUUUCGGUAAAUUCCAAGACAUGAUUUUAAUAUAAUGCUGCAACUGGGUUGUACUUUAUGUACAUAGGGACUGGACAAGGUGUAAUGUUAGGUUUAUGUUUAUCAGUUUGAUUAAUGCAUGUCCUUGGAGAAUAAUUAAACAUUGCAUACAAGAGUGUUUCCAUAAGUAAUCUAUGUACAGGUAAAUUAUUCAAAAGACAGGCAUCAAACUGUUACUAAAGCCAUAUUACGUACCUAAUGGAGUUUGAGGUCACUUGACCCACCCAGGUCAUAUCUAUUGAGACCCAUUCCUGUCCGUCAUUCACAGGCUUUUGAACGUUCUCUACGUCACCUCAAAAACUGCACAGUGGAUUUUCAUCCAAAUCUUAUCAUAGCAUGAAUAGGGAUAGGAAAACAAUCUGUGAAUAUUGUGAUCCCUAUGGGGUUGUGAGGUACUGCAAAAAUCUCAAAAUAAUGCAGUCAAUUCCGCGGUAUACUUGUUACUCUAGCAGAUAUAUUGUAUCAGGGUGCAAGGCCAGGGUUGAUGUAGUAUUGGAAUACCUGAAUCAUUGAUAUUACCAUUGCUAUUUCUGUCGAAUUAAACAACAAAGUCCUGUAUUGGGUUCUUAUAGGUUGAUCACCUCCAAUAUAUUGCCAAAUUUAAGAUAUAGAUCUAUCUGACACUCUGAAUAAUUCGAACAAAUAGAAUUACAAUCAUUUACAUCAACGUACUACUUAUUUACACAAAUCACUUCCUUAAAUAGAUACUACCAUGGUAUUAUAAAAGCUUAAAACUCUGAUACUAUAUUUAGGAUAUUUCUAUAAUGACUAUACAGACAUUAUUCAUAAAUCAUAAAAUAUAUUAUGAACACCAUCAUACCAUUCUAUGGCAUACUAUCUCAUUAACAAAACAUGUCAAUGGAGAUUGACUGUAAAUUAUGAAGUUUUACUCAAAUAAACUUCCAUCAUAAAAAUAUUACACAUGUAUUUAAAAUAUACCAGAUCUGUGAAACACAUAAAUUCAACUUAUUCAUUUCACGCUAACUGAAUUAUGCCUCACAAAAUAUCAUUCUCCCUGUGCAAGUGAUAUGGAAUUAAAUCUGCCAAAGUGUUAAGUUCACUGCUAAUUAGAAUAAUAUCAACGUUAGAAAAUAAGAUUCGGGCACUUUCUAACCUAUAUACAAAAUUUAAUUAAUGACCUAAGGCAAAAAUCAAUAAAUCAGAACGGGUACUACCUGUUCUACUUGGGUGAACAUAAAACACAUUUCAGUGUAGUCAUUACUCAAAUAAUUUUUAAUUUCAAUUACAUUUGUGUAGAUUUAUUAAUUUAAAUCAAUCAUUAAACACUAUUAGACCAUUUCUGCCCAGUUGUUGUUCACCAUCAGCUUAAAACAUUUUAAACUUCUUUGUCAUUUUAAAACCAAAUUUGUUUUAAAAUAUACGUGUGGGUUACAAUGUAGGAGGAACACCAUUGUGGGUUAAGCGACCAUUGUCCUUAGUGAAUGGAUUUCAUGACAAGACAUUUGAAAACUCGUUAUAGUAGACUCAGUGUUUCACUGCAGAGGGGCAACGGAAGCAGAACACCUUCCUUAUCGUUCGCAGAACAAACACGAAUAUCUGGACAUACCACAGGUGGGAUCAGGUGCCUAGAAGGAGAAAACAUUCCCUAUUGAGUUUUCCUUUCACGUGUCUAAUAUGUGAUUCUAAUAUUCUUCAUUUACGUUUUAUUCAUUCUGAUAAGGUAUCAAGUUCUUCUUUGUCAUGAAAUGAUGAAGAUAACGAACCAUGAUUAGAUUGAUGUCAUAACUCCUACAAAGGAAUAGCAGAAAUUGUGGAUCCCUUGACAAACCUGAUUUGGAAUCAGGUACCUAGGAGGUGUAAACAUCACCUGUCGACGGGUCACACGUUCCACGAGCCAUAUAUCUUGAUCAGGUAAACGGAGUAAUUCGUAAUCAGAAUCAGUAUGUAAAAAACGGCCUAACAAUUGGUAUGAAAUACAUCAGACAGCAUAUGACCCAAUGAAAGCUUACAUCGGUAAAUCAUAUCAUUUUAAAAGCCAUAUAAUGCUGAUUAUAAACUAAACUGUUGAAACCCCUGUAAUAUCAACUUAUUUGUUAGUAGUGAAGGGUAGUCUAUCUCGAUUUAAAAACUGAUGAUACGCAGAACAAGCUCAUGCAAAUCGAAUCAAUUGAGAUAUAUAAACCAUGUGCAGGUGAUAAUGGAAUAUUGCUACAUAAAUAUGGGAAGUUGACGAUGGAGAAGCUGAAGUCAUCCCGUUUGUCAUACAGUUGAGUUGUUAGUUUGUGGUUAUCUUCAAAGUCCAAUAAAUUAUCUAAAUACUGAACAGAUAUGUAGGAAUAUGUGUUGUCUGUAUUUCGAGUUAAUAUCUAGCUCAUUGUCUGAUAUAAUCUUUGACAAAAUUCAUAAUAAAGAUGAAGUUCUAUUGCCAAUCAAAAGACAAGAGUUCUCCGAAUAUAGAACCUUUUAAAAUAAGUUAUCUGAGGUCGUCAUAAAAUAUUCAAUGGCGUCCAAGAUAUUUCAGACAUUAUGUGUAAAACAUUUAAACUUUUCAAUAUACUCAUCAUUCUAUAAAAAGAAUGAUUAUCAAAGUAAAUUUUAUGAUAUGUCGAACCGAAAACAUUUUAAAUGAUGUCGCGUAAAUAAUUACCUGAUCAAAAGUUAAGUGACUUGGUGUUUGCAACGAAUUGUUUAUUGUCGUCAGCUCGUGGAUCUGAAUAUAUAAGGAGUCAGGUGAGAAAAUAGUCAUUAUCACGGAAAAACAGAAAUGUGCGUAAUUCUACUUCGUUUUAGUUUGAUUUUGACUGUGUGUCUAGUGAUUGGAGUCUACACUGCUCCCAGGGCUCCUAGACGUUUAUCACAUCCACAACCAGCGAGGUUCAUGCAUGCCGAACCAAGCCCAAACAUUCCGAGAACUGUCGAGAACAUUCCAGGAACUGACGAGAUCAACAUAUUGAAGAAACCCAUCAACAAUACAAAAGAUACACUUGACAUGAUAAAAAGAACCAGGGCAGUGCUAAGUUUCUGCAAGUUUUGUUUACAACCUAUCUAUAAAGAUUCAACAGAUUGCCAGAAACACUGCACAAACUUUGAGGGGGAACAGGGAAAAAUCAUCACUACAAAGGAACUCGCAAUCAACGACAGAUUAUCUAAAGGUAAAGGGAAUAAAAGUAAAAGUAAAGUGUUUACCGACGCUUUAUGUGCCUUCUGCAAGCUGUAUCAGGUGUAUCAACAAACGUCCAUCUGUCAACAGAAACUCUGCUCCAGCGCAUCGUAACCUUCACGAUCUCCAUCAUAUGGAGUAUAAUCAACAAUUUUCUGGUUUGCCGUUGCUUAUUUUACAUUUAGUCACGGACAAUCUACUAGAGGGUUGUCUGUUUUCAUAUGAUGCUUAUCUUUUUUAUUUGUUAUGCUAUAACGCAGUGAUACAGAUGGACAAGGAUAUAUCGUUUUUCUGAGAGCAUUGACAGUGAUUAUAACACAAUGUUCUUUUAUGUAUCAAUAGCAUUAAUGCUUUUGAUUAUUAUUAAAUCAAUAUUUCUA